rnacentral:rRNA from 1 species
GCGAAAGUCCCUUCGGGGGAUGAGUAGAGUGGCGUCCGGGUGAGUAACACGUAGGUAAUCUACCUUCGGGUGGGGAAUAACGCAGGGAAACUUGCGCUAAUACCGCAUAAUGCAGCGGCACCACAUGGUGACAGUUGUUAAAGCGGGGGAUUUUCGAACCUCGCGCCUGAAGAGGAGCCUGCGGCAGAUUAGCUAGUUGGUAGGGUAACGGCUUACCAAGGCGACGAUCUGUAGCCGGCCUGAGAGGGCGGUCGGCCACACUGACACUGACAUACGGGUCAGACUCCUACGGGAGGCAGCAGUCGGGAAUUUUGGGCAAUGGGCGAAAGCCUGACCCAGCAACGCCGCGUGAAGGAUGAAAUCCCUCGGGAUGUAAACUUCGCAAGAAUGGGAAGAAUUAGCGAGUAUUAAUACUGCUCGUGAUGACGGUACCAUUUGUAAGCUCCGGCUAACUCCGUGCCAGCAGCCGCGGUAAUACGGGGGGAGCAAGCGUUGUUCGGAUUUACUGGGCGUAAAGGGCGCGUAGGCGGUCAGCACAAGUCAGUUGUGAAAUCUCCGGGCUUAACUCGGAACGGUCAACUGAUACUGUGCGACUAGAGUGCAGAAGGGGCAACUGGAAUUCUCGGUGUAGCGGUGAAAUGCGUAGAUAUCGAGAGGAACACCUGCGGCGAAGGCGGGUUGCUGGGCUGACACUGACGCUGAUGCGCGAAAGCCAGGGGAGCGAACGGGAUUAGAUACCCCGGUAGUCCUGGCCUUAAACGAUGGAUGCUUGGUGUCUGGAGUUUUAUAGUCUCCGGGUGCCGUAGCUAACGCGUUAAGCAUCCCGCCUGGGGAGUAC